GGAACGUCAUUGGGGUAGCCUCUGUUGUUGUGUCUCGCUUUCUCUUCACUUGGGACCUUUGGUAGCUUCUGGUGUGUCUCUUGCUUUCUCUCUCACGCACAUUCUUUUCUUCUCUUUCUGAGCUUUCAGUGAUACAGAAAGCUACAACUUCGAUCUUCGUCUCUGAACUGUAUGGAUUUAUUUCUGGUCUUUCUCUCUCACGCACACUCUUUUCUUCUCUUUCUGAGCUUUCAGUGAUACAGAAAGACACAAACCUAGAUCUUCGUCUCUGACCGUUUGUUUUUUGCUUUUUUGGUUGCCGUCGGGAGUGAGACAGAAGAGAGGGUGAGAAGAAAAUCAAAAGGAAAUGCCGGCGUUUCGCCAUGCCGGGUUUCUGAUUUUGAUUUUGGGUGUCGUCUUCUUGCCGGCGGUUGUGUUUUCUGGAUUUCCGAAGAACCUGAAGCUCGAAAAAGCCUUUCUGGUGGACCAGAGAGUUGAGCUUAUUGAGCUUAGAACUCGUGACAGGGCAUCAUUAUAAUUUGUACCUGCAGAGCAUUGUUGUCAAUGGGCAAAUUCUGCCCAUUGAUUUAGCAGUUAUUGUUACUUCAAGCAAUAGAGGAACCAUAAUUGAUUCUGGAACAACUUUGGCAUACCUUGAAGCAGAAGCAAAUGAUCCACUUGAAAAUGCUCAGGUACCAUUGUUAUACAACUUCCUAACUUAAUGAAUGCUAGACUUUAAAAAGGUUCAUCAUCAGAUCCUUAAUUUAAUAUUUCAAAAGCAUAUGUCCUUUGCAUUCAGUGUUGAUGGGGAUAUUCCUUACAGUCAGCUUAAACUUUGCUGGUAGUGCAUCCAUGAUAUUAAGUGCCAUGGAGUACCUCAUAAAACAGGGUGGUGUUGAUGGGGCAUAAUUGUGGUGCAUUGGCUUCCAAAGAAUUCAGGACCAAGGGAUGACCAUUUUACGAGGUGAACAGCCCCUAGGGACAUUGACAGCUAAUUUAGGCCAUCAUACAGGAGACGCCUACGUAAUCAAGUACUAAAGUUCAAGAAUGAAAUCUUGCAUAAUGCUAGUUCUUUUAGAACUUUUAAUACAUACAGGAGACUUUGUGGAUUGCUAAAUGGACCAUGGCCUAGUUCACAUUGUUCCCAUACUCUACUUACUUGUUGAGCAUAAAGCCUCAAGUGAAUCCUAACCAACAAAUUUGAGGUUUAAUUUCUCCUGCUAUAUCCAUGAAGCCUAAACAAGCAGAGAUUAUGUUGAAGAGUCCUGCUGGCUACUGGAAUUGUGCAGCCGGAGCAAUUUGAGCAAGUCAAGUUUAGACUAAAGCCAGGUGAUGAUAUCAGUGUUGGAUCUCCUAGGUUCCUCUGAAUAUCAGUUAUUGUUCGUAAUAUUGUACAGUCACAGUUGUAAUUGAUCUCUACUUCUAACCAUUAUAAAUUGAUACCUAGGAUCAGUCGAAAUUCACUGAAUCCUAGAGU